AGUGAACGCUGGCGGCGUGCCUAAUACAUGCAAGUCGAAGGCAGUGGCGCACGGGUGAGUAAUACGUGGGUAACCUGCCCUCCUUUUUGGGAUAAGCCUUGGAAACGGGGUCUAAUACCGACUACAGGGGGAUGGGCUCGCGGCCUAUCAGCUUGUUGGUGGGGUGAUGGCCUACCAAGGCGGGGACGGGUCGCCGGCCUGAGAGGGUGACCUGGCACAGUGGGACUGAGAUACGGCCCAGACGAGGACGGGAGGCAGCAGUGGGGGAUAUUGCAGAAUGGGCGAAAGAGUGAUGCAGCGACGCCGCGUGGGGGAUGAAGGCUUUCGGGUUGUAAACGUGUGUCGCUAGGGAACCGGUAGGUGGAGAAGAAGCGCCGGCUAACUACGUGCCAGCAGCCGCGGUAAUUC
rnacentral:rRNA from 1 species